UACGGAGGGUGCGAGCGUUGUCCGGAAUCACUGGGCGUAAAGGGCGCGUAGGUGGCGCGAGAGUCAACGGUGAAAGUUCGGGGCUCAACCCUGAAUCGGCCGUCGAUACUCCCGUGGCUCGAGCACUGUAGAGGCAGAUGGAAUUCCGGGGUGUAGCGGUGGAAUGCGUAGAGAUCCGGAAGAACGACCGGUGGCGCAGGCGGUCUGAGCUGGGUCAGUGC
rnacentral:rRNA from 1 species